AUUGAACGCUGGCGGCAUGCCUUACACAUGCAAGUCGAACGGCAGCACGGGAGCAAUCCUGGUGGCGAGUGGCGAACGGGUGAGUAAUAUAUCGGAACGUGCCCAGUCGUGGGGGAUCACGUAGCGAAAGCUACGCUAAUACCGCAUACGAUCUAUGGAUGAAAGCGGGGGAUCGCAAGACCCCGCGCGAUUGGAGCGGCCGAUAUCAGAUUAGGUAGUUGGUGGGGUAAAGGCUCACCAAGCCGACGAUCUGUAGCUGGUCUGAGAGGACGACCAGCCACACUGGGACUGAGACACGGCCCAGACUCCUACGGGAGGCAGCAGUGGGGAAUUUUGGACAAUGGGCGCAAGCCUGAUCCAGCAAUGCCGCGUGCAGGAUGAAGGCCUUCGGGUUGUAAACUGCUUUUGUACGGAACGAAACGGCGAGCUCUAAUACAGUUUGCUAAUGACGGUACCGUAAGAAUAAGCACCGGCUAACUACGUGCCAGCAGCCGCGGUAA
rnacentral:rRNA from 1 species